rnacentral:rRNA from 1 species
AUGAACGCUAGCUACAGGCUUAACACAUGCAAGUCGAGGGGCAGCAUUUUAGUUUGCUUGCAAACUGAAGAUGGCGACCGGCGCACGGGUGAGUAACACGUAUCCAACCUGCCGAUAACUCCGGAAUAGCCUUUCGAAAGAAAGAUUAAUACCGGAUGGCAUACGAAUAUCGCAUGAUAUUUUUAUUAAAGAAUUUCGGUUAUCGAUGGGGAUGCGUUCCAUUAGUUUGUUGGCGGGGUAACGGCCCACCAAGACUACGAUGGAUAGGGGUUCUGAGAGGAAGGUCCCCCACAUUGGAACUGAGACACGGUCCAAACUCCUACGGGAGGCAGCAGUGAGGAAUAUUGGUCAAUGGGCGAGAGCCUGAACCAGCCAAGUAGCGUGAAGGAUGAAGGCUCUAUGGGUCGUAAACUUCUUUUAUAUGGGAAUAAAGUUUUCCACGUGUGGAAUUUUGUAUGUACCAUAUGAAUAAGGAUCGGCUAACUCCGUGCCAGCAGCCGCGGUAAUACGGAGGAUCCGAGCGUUAUCCGGAUUUAUUGGGUUUAAAGGGAGCGUAGGUGGAUUGUUAAGUCAGUUGUGAAAGUUUGCGGCUCAACCGUAAAAUUGCAGUUGAAACUGGCAGUCUUGAGUACAGUAGAGGUGGGCGGAAUUCGUGGUGUAGCGGUGAAAUGCUUAGAUAUCACGAAGAACUCCGAUUGCGAAGGCAGCUCACUAGACUGUUACUGACACUGAUGCUCGAAAGUGUGGGUAUCAAACAGGAUUAGAUACCCUGGUAGUCCACACAGUAAACGAUGAAUACUCGCUGUUUGCGAUAUACAGUAAGCGGCCAAGCGAAAGCAUUAAGUAUUCCACCUGGGGAGUACGCCGGCAACGGUGAAACUCAAAGGAAUUGACGGGGGCCCGCACAAGCAGUGGAGUAUGUGGUUUAAUUCGAAGCAACGCGAAGAACCUUACCAAGUCUUGACAUCCCGAUGACAGAGUAUGUAAUGUACUUUCUCUUCGGAGCAUCGGUGACAGGUGGUGCAUGGUUGUCGUCAGCUCGUGUCGUGAGAUGUUGGGUUAAGUCCCGCAACGAGCGCAACCCCUGUUUCUAGUUGCCAGCAUGUAAAGAUGGGAACUCUAGAAAGACUGCCGUAGAUAAUACGGAGGAAGGUGGGGAUGACGUCAAAUCAGCACGGCCCUUACGUCCGGGGCUACACACGUGUUACAAUGGGGGGUACAGAAGGCGGCUACCUGGUGACAGGAUGCUAAUCCCAAAAACCUCUCUCAGUUCGGAUCGAAGUCUGCAACCCGACUUCGUGAAGCUGGAUUCGCUAGUAAUCGCGCAUCAGCCAUGGCGCGGUGAAUACGUUCCCGGGCCUUGUACACACCGCCCGUCAAGCCAUGAAAGCCGGGGGUACCUGAAGUACGUAACCGCAAGGAGCGUCCUAGGGUAAAACUGGUAAUUGGGGCU